UCCGUAGGUGAACCUGCGGAAGGAUCAUUAAAAAAAAGAAACGCCCCUGGGCGGCUUCUCCACCCCUGAUUUUAAUACCAUUGUUGCUUUGGUGAGCCGCGGACCACCGCGUAGGCCCCUCGAGGUCUACUGUGCUCGCCAGGGAAUCUCGACUCGAAGUUUAGUGCAGUCUGAGUACCAUCUAAUAGUUAAAACUUUCAACAACGGAUCUCUUGGUUCUGGCAUCGAUGAAGAACGCAGCGAAAUGCGAUAAGUAAUGCGAAUUGCAGAAUUCAGCGAGUCAUCGAAUCUUUGAACGCACAUUGCGCCCCCCGGCAUUCCGAGGGGCAUGCCUGUUCGAGCGUCAUUUCACCACGCAAGCGUAGCUUGGUCUUGGGAUUCGCGGUUUCUCGCGGUCCUUAAAAUCAGUGGCGGUGCCUGUAGGCUCUGAGCGUAGUAUUCAUCCUCGCUAUAGUGACCUACAGGCUGCCUGCUAGUCAUCUCACGUUUUUCUCAGGUUGACCUCGGAUCAGGUAGGGAUACCCGCUGAACUUAAGCAU
rnacentral:rRNA from 1 species